rnacentral:rRNA from 1 species
UACGAAGGGGGCUAGCGUUGUUCGGAAUCACUGGGCGUAAAGGGCGCGUAGGCGGCUUUUCAAGUCGGGGGUGAAAGCCUGUGGCUCAACCACAGAAUUGCCUUCGAUACUGUUAGGCUUGAGACCGGAAGAGGUGAGUGGAACUGCGAGUGUAGAGGUGAAAUUCGUAGAUAUUAGGAAGAACACCGGUGGCGAAGGCGGCCCACUGGUCCGGUACUGACGCUGAGGCGCGAAAGCGUGGGGAGCGAACAGG